CCACAGUGGUGGCAGCAGCGUGGGGCGACUUCCCUUGUGGUGAUGCUGCUGCCCACUGUGGGCUGUGCUGGGAGGGGGGUGGAGAGAUGGCUGGGAUCCAGAAGACGAGAAGCAAACAAGCCCAGCACCAGGCAGAGAUCCAGUGGAAAAAAAUGCCCAGCCUACUGUGAUGCCAAUUAG
rnacentral:lncRNA from 1 species